rnacentral:lncRNA from 13 species
GCUCCAAAAGGGUUUUGGCUUUCCCCAUAGGAUAAUCAUUUUUGGUUCCAGGUGAUAACCCUUUUUGGUUCCAGGUAGAACCAUUUCGAGUUUCAUGUAGAAUCCUCCGUGGAAAGGGUUCUACAUGGAACACAAAAUGGUUAUAAUUGGAACCAAAAAUGGUUCUACCUGGAACCAACAAAUGUUCUUCAAAGGGUUCUCCUAUGUAGACAGCCAAAGAACCCUUUCAGGUACUAGAAAGCACCUUUAAAUUUUUUUUUUUUUUUUAAUUACAAANNNNNNNNNNUGUGGGUGUGGGUGUGGGUGUGUGUUCAGUGUGAGCUAUGUCUGGAAUGCUUAAUGGUCUGCUUAUGGAACAGCCUUUCCCAGGACAUUAUCAUGUUUAAUUGUCUUGUAAAGGCACUACUCACCGGAAUGUGCCUACCUUUGAACGUUGCAGGGUUAGCCUCAUUAUCUAUCCUCCAAGGUAAAUAUUGCUAUAGGCAAAUCAGAUGAUUGAAUCAUUCUCAGGCAUUCAACACCUGCUAUGAUGAUGAGUACUAUAUUGAAAUCGCCGAUGAUGAAAACAUGGACUCAAGUUAUCCAUCAAGAUAAUUUUUUGGGCCAAACAGAGAGGACACAUGCUCUGUACCAAAAACAAGCAUAAUCUGCCCCAUUAAGGCACCAAUCACUGCAACUGGUCGCCAACAUCAUUUGGGAUGUAGAGACAUCACUUUAAUAGAAGGUGCACUGAAGAAAGAAAAAACAAAUGAAAGAAUGAAAUAUGGAAUGAGUAGUCCUGAAUGCUGUUUUUGUUUUCAUAUAAUUUUUCGUUUAGAUGUAUUUGGGCCAAUACAUUGUUCUAACAUUCAACUCUUCACUACAUUUAUAAAUCAUUGUUAUUUUAAUUAAGGUUGAGUCUUGAAUUAAAAUUGAGAGAGGGAGGGNNNNNNNNNNAUAUAUAUAUAUAUAUAUAUAUAUAUAUAUAUAUAUAUAUAUAUAUAUAUAAUAAACAUAUCUCCACGUAGUUAUAAGGGUAGCCCUUUGCUGCAGUCAAAUGACCCAGUAGCCUCAUCGGGGGAAUGUCAGUCAAAUGACCCAGUAGCCUCAUCGGGGGAAUGUCAUAAUUCCAUAAUUAAUCAUUGUUAUUUUAUUAAUGAACUUGUUUUUAAAUGCAGGACAUCCUGUGUUUUUAUGUCAAAUGUUUUUUGUUAUAUUUCAGUCUUCUGUUAUAUGUAUAAAGUAUAGUAUUGGGAUGCAAACUCAAAAUGUAAUACAUUGUACAGGUGUCUUCUUUGUUUUAAGCCCAUAACCAUGUGUGAGGUGUAUACCUGUGUUUCAAAGUAGAUUUGUUCAAGACUACCCUGACUACCCACUGCAGUAAAAGGUUAAUGGACUUGAAUAGAUAGAGUAAGCCUACAAUUAGAAGGGCCAGUUUGGGUGCAAUCAAUUAGCUUCAUUUCUCAGAGAUCAAAUUUGAUAAAAUCAUACAAUUAUAUUUCAAAUCAAAUGUAUUUGUCACAUACACAUGGUUAGCAGAUGUUAAUGUGAGUGUAGCGAAAUGCUUGUGCUUCUAGUUACGACAAUGCAGUAAUAACCAACGAGUAAUCUAACCUAACAAUUCCAAAACUACCUUAUAAACACAAGUGUAAAGGGAUGAAGAAUAUGUACAUAAAGAUAUAUGAAUGAGUGAUGGUACAGAACGGCAUAGGCAAGAUGCAGUAGAUGGUAUCGAGUACAGUAUAUACAUAUGAGAUGAGUAAUGUAGGGUAUGUAAAGAAAGUGGCAUAG